UGUUCUACAACUGCUAGUCCACUGCUCCCUCCUCCAAGGGAUUUCACAGUGUCGGCUGCUGCCUCCAAUGCAUAAGAGAGACAGCUUUUCUUUGUCAAAAUAGGAACAGUUUGUAAUGGUGACAGUGGAAAGGAUCAGAACAAUUUUAAAAUCAAUGGAAAGUACAAAUACCACUAUCAAGUUUCCACUCUCUACUAGAAAGAUCUUGAACUCGAGACCACAAAUCCUCCAAGAAAUCCUUCUCAUUGAAGAGAGAAUAUGGUCGAUCAAUGGUAUCUUUGCAAAUCAAGCUUCUUUUAAGGGCAAUUGCGUCAUUAACUGUUAAAUAGAAAUUCUAGAAGGAUCCGAUUUUUCAUGCUCAUCUCUAACUGAAAAAUGAAAAGAACAGACGCACAAGCAGCUGCUCUUCUCCUCAUCUUCACAUCAGGAGUAAUUAUCGAGGUUGGCAUAUAUAUAUUUUUGGUUUUUCUUUUGCUUUCAAGCCGAGACGGAUCCAAGAUUUAAACCCUAUGGGUUCAACUUUUAAGGUAGUAUUUAACUCAUUAUAUUUGUAAAGUUAUGGGUUCAUAUCUACUAUUUUUGCAAUUUUAAUAAAUUUUGACACAAAUUCUUACUCCGCGUCAAAAGUUAUGAGGUCAAUUGAACCGUCAUUAGAACUCUACAUACGCCCCUGCUUUCAAGGAAGAUUUUUUUCCUCAUAAAUAGGAGCUUUGUAUAAUUGUAUUGAACUAUGAAUAUAUUUUAAAUAGGUAUUGCGAAAAUGAAACAGAGAUUAUUUUUUGUUCUUUUCACAUUGUGGUUUUAUUUUUGUUUUAUGUAUAAUCUGCUAUUAACUGGCAUGUUAACUUGUUGGUCCUGCUCUACAAAAAAAUAUGCUUCUGCUCUCUCUUAAAUUUUAUUUAUACGAAUUUAUCUUCACUAAAAACUUAAUCUUGGCAAAGCAUUCCUAUCAGAAGUUGCAGUAUAUUAGCAUAAUGAAAAAUAGCACAAACUGACAAUACUCUGAAAAUCCACCAAACCUAAAGGUACUGUCUUAAAGCCAAUAUAGAACUAAUGGUUAAAGUUAUGAGUUACUUUAAGAAUUGGGGCUUUGUACGACUUUAAGGUUGAUUCAUCCUAUGCAAAAAUAGUUGAAUAGAAAUUUCUUGUAUAUGCUUUGAUAAACAAUCUUGCUGGUUUAGAAAUUUCUUUUAAAAUCUAGGAAAUAAGGUCACAUCCAAAGGACCUAUGUGCUUAAACGAAAAUACAAAAAGCCUGGGAACUUCAAAUUUUGAGGAUUCCAAGUUGAAC